GAUGAACGCUGGCGGCGUGCCUAAUACAUGCAAGUCGAGCGGACGGACGAGAAUCUUGCUUCUCUGUCGUUAGCGGCGGACGGGAGUGGCACACGUGUAUAACCCACCUAUAAGACUGGGAUCAUUUCGGGAAACCGGAGCUAACACCGUAUAAUAUUUUGAACCGCAUGGUUCAAACGUGAAAGACGGUCUUGCUGUCACUUAUAGAUGGAUCCGCGCUGCAUUAUCUAGUUGGUAAGGUCACGGCUUACCACGGCAACGAUGCAUAGCCGACCUGAGAGGGUGGUCGGCCACACGGGAAGUGAGAAAGGGCCCAGACUACUACGAGAAGCAGCAGUCGAGAAUCUUACGCAAUGGGCGAAAGCCUUACGGAGCAACGCGGCGUGAGUGAUGAAGGUCUUCGGAUCGGAAAGCUCUGUUAUAAGGGAAGAACAUAUGUGUAAGUAACUGUGCACAUCUUGACGGUACCUAAUCAGGAAGCCACGGCUAACUACGUG
rnacentral:rRNA from 1 species